rnacentral:rRNA from 1 species
AGAGUUUGAUCCUGGCUCAGAACGAACGCUGGCGGCGUGGAUAAGACAUGCAAGUCGAGCGCUGAUUACAGGGUAGCAAUAUUCUGUGGUCGGAGCGGCGCAAGGGUGCGUAACACGUGGGUAAUCUGCCAUGAAGUUUGGGAUAACUUGCUGAAAGGCGAGCUAAUACCGGAUGUGACGAUUGGAAGGCAUCUUCUGAUCUUCAAAGCUGGGGACCGUAAGGCCUGGCGCUUCAUGAUGAGCCCGCGGCCUAUCAGCUAGUUGGUGAGGUAACGGCUCACCAAGGCUAAGACGGGUAGCUGGUCUGAGAGGACGACCAGCCACACUGGAACUGAGACACGGUCCAGACACCUACGGGUGGCAGCAGUCGAGAAUUUUUCACAAUGGGCGCAAGCCUGAUGGAGCGACGCCGCGUGGGGGAUGAAUGGCUUCGGCCCGUAAACCCCUGUCAUUUGCGAACAAGUUGGUUCAAUUAACACCUGAACCAUUGAUAGUAGCGAAGGAGGAAGGGACGGCUAACUCUGUGCCAGCAGCCGCGGUAAUACAGAGGUCCCGAGCGUUGUUCGGAUUCACUGGGCGUAAAGGGUGCGUAGGUGGUGAGGUAAGUCGGAUGUGAAAUCUCCGAGCUCAACUCGGAAACUGCAUUGGAAACUACCUUGCUCGAGGGUUGGAGGGGGGACUGGAAUACUUGGUGUAGCAGUGAAAUGCGUAGAUAUCAAGUGGAACACCAGUGGCGAAGGCGAGUCCCUGGACAACUCCUGACACUGAGGCACGAAAGCCAGGGGAGCAAACAGGAUUAGAUACCCUAGUAGUCC